rnacentral:lncRNA from 10 species
CUGACUGCAGUUGGCUGUGCCCGGGCCAUGCCAAGGGCCUGCCCGAAUUUCCUGUCCUUGUGAUUACAUCUGGAUUUUAGUCAAGGACACAGCAGGUGCAAGAGAAAAACCCAAUACAGGGUGACUAAGGAGAUUCGGGAGAGGAAUCGCUCAUUGCCCCUUGGUGACACCAGCUGCUGCUGCUUGCAGGGUGAGGAGAGGGGAAAGUCGGGCCUCCUGGGACAGUUUGUUCCACAGCUUGGUAGUAGGAGAGUCUUAAUUGCCAGCUUUGAUUUUAACUCAAAGAACAAUUCAAGGAAGCUGACUCUCAGAGCUCACAACUGUCCCUUUUCCUUUCCCAGCUGGCUUUGCUGGGAUGAAAAUCUAUGAGUCUUGGUUGCACAACACACAUAACUGACAGCAGGACGGCAGCCUUCACGGGUUCCUGGGCUUGCCUGUCCACUUCUCUGCCCUCCCUGAGGGACCUGGAAGUUCCGAAAUGGCCUGAACCUCCAUGCCCUUCAUCUUCUUAUCCCCAGGGUCUAAGCCCAGCCCAGAGGUGUCCCAAUGAGUGGGUGUUUAAUGAAAUAAUGGAUUAACACUGAAGUCCAGAUUGUAACACAAGGAAACGUGGAACACAUGAAGAGAGGCUGUCCCUGUCUGCCAGCUUCAGAGAGAGAUGGAGCUGGAGAAAGAUCUGUGGAUGGCCCCGAACGGAGGGAACCUUGGGGAGAAAUGGAAAGCAUCAAAAUGUGAGAUGAGAAGAUCUGGGUUCUAAUCAAGGUUUUACUACAAAUCGUGUGACCCCUUUAGACUCACUUAAUUCCCAUAGCGCCUCAGUUUCCUCAUCUGCAAAAAAUGAACUAAAUUGAAGAGCUCUGAAAUUUUGUAAAACAUGUGCU